rnacentral:rRNA from 1 species
UGGGAAUUUUCCGCAAUGGGUGAAAGCCUGACGGAGCAACGCCGCGUGAGGGACGAAGGCCUCUGGGCUGUAAACCUCUCUUCUCAAGGAAGAAGAUAUGACGGUACUUGAGGAAUAAGCCACGGCUAAUUCCGUGCCAGCAGCCGCGGUAAUACGGGAGUGGCAAGCGUUAUCCGGAAUUAUUGGGCGUAAAGCGUCCGCAGGCGGCUUUUCAAGUCUGCUGUUAAAGCGUGGAGCUUAACUCCAUCAUGGCAGUGGAAACUGAAAGGCUUGAGUAUGGUAGGGGCAGAGGGAAUUCCCGGUGUAGCGGUGAAAUGCGUAGAUAUCGGGAAGAACACCAGUGGCGAAGGCGCUCUGCUGGGCCAUUACUGACGCUCAUGGACGAAAGCCUGGGGAGCGAAAGGGAUUAGAUACCCCUGUAGUCA